UACGUAGGCAGCAAGCGUUGUUCGGAAUUACUGGGCGUAAAGAGUGUGUAGGCGGUGUUCCAAGUCUGGUGUGAAAUCUCCCGGCUUAACUGGGAGGGUGCAUUAGAAACUGGAAUGCUAGAGGAUGGGAGAGGUAAGCGGAAUUCCUAGUGUAGCGGUGAAAUGCGUAGAUAUCAGGAGGAACACCUGUGGUGUAGACAGCUUACUGGACCAUUUCUGACGCUGAGACACGAAAGCGUGGGUAGCAAACAGG
rnacentral:rRNA from 1 species